AAAUUGAAGAGUUUGAUCAUGGCUCAGAUUGAACGCUGGCGGCAGGCCUAACACAUGCAAGUCGAACGGUAACAGGAAGCAGCUUGCUGCUUUGCUGACGAGUGGCGGACGGGUGAGUAAUGUCUGGGAAACUGCCUGGUGGAGGGGGAUAACUACUGGAAACGGUGGCUAAUACCGCAUAACGUCGCAAGACCAAAGAGGGGGACCUUCGGGCCUCUUGCCAUCAGAUGUGCCCAGAUGGGAUUAGCUUGUUGGUG
rnacentral:rRNA from 1 species